rnacentral:sRNA from 1 species
UCCCCAGCCCGUCCCUGGCCGGCCCCCCCCUUCCUGUGCCUCCCCCUGCAGGGGGGGUCUGAAGUGCGGGGCCGGCGGAUGCUGCAGGCCGAGAUCCCCCCCGCCCCCCCACGCGCCCUCUCUCCUCCGCCUCCUCCUCCUCUCCGCCUCCCCCCGCCACCUCGUCCUUUCUCUCCGGCACGCUGACAUCACCAUCCGGGGACUCCCGGCCCUUCCCCACAGUUAACCCUUUCGGAGGGGGAGGGGGAGUGGCAGGGGGCGGGCCUGGAAGCUGGACGGACAGGAAAGAGGUGGGAAGAUGCAGGGAUAGGUGGAGGGAUGUACGGAUGGGUGGAGGGAUGCUGGAGGAGAGGGAUGCUGGAGGAAAGAAGGAUGCCUGCAUCCGAGAUUGUUAGACAUCCAUUUGAUCCCCAAGUUUCUCUCAGGGUGCGCCCAUGAAAACUGGUGCUCCUCUGAAGUGGGUUCUCCUGUUAGUGGAGGAGGCAGCUGAUUGGACAAGGCGAGGACCCUGUUAGCCACUUUAGACAGUCAUGGUUGGUUCUGAAGAGAUGACUAAGGGUAAGAAACUGUUUCUUUUCUCCUUAAGAUUGUA